GCUGUCGUGGCCGAGUGGUUAAGGUGAUGGACUAGAAAUCCAUUGGGAUCUUCCUGCGUAGUUUCGAAUCCUACCGACUGCG
rnacentral:tRNA from 1 species